UUAAGUUAUUAAGGGCGCACGGUGGAUGCCUUGGCACUAGAAGCCGAUGAAGGACGUUACUAACGACGAUAUGCUUUGGGGAGCUGUAAGUAAGCUUUGAUCCAGAGAUUUCCGAAUGGGGAAACCCAGCAUGAGUUAUGUCAUGUUAUCGAUAUGUGAAUACAUAGCAUAUCAGAAGGCACACCCGGAGAACUGAAACAUCUUAGUAACCGGAGGAAGAGAAAGAAAAUUCGAUUCCCUUAGUAGCGGCGAGCGAAACGGGAAGAGCCCAAACCAACAAGCUUGCUUGUUGGGGUUGUAGGACACUCUAUACGGAGUUACAAAGGACGACAUUAGACGAAUCAUCUGGAAAGAUGAAUCAAAGAAGGUAAUAAUCCUGUAGUCGAAAAUGUUGUCUCUCUUGAGUGGAUCCUGAGUACGACGGAGCACGUGAAAUUCCGUCGGAAUCUGGGAGGACCAUCUCCUAAGGCUAAAUACUCUCUAGUGACCGAUAGUGAACCAGUACCGUGAGGGAAAGGUGAAAAGCACCCCGGAAGGGGAGUGAAAUAGAACCUGAAACCGUGUGCUUACAAGUAGUCAGAGCCCGUUAAUGGGUGAUGGCGUGCCUUUUGUAGAAUGAACCGGCGAGUUACGAUUUGAUGCAAGGUUAAGCAGUAAAUGUGGAGCCGUAGCGAAAGCGAGUCUGAAUAGGGCGUUUAGUAUUUGGUCGUAGACCCGAAACCAGGUGAUCUACCCUUGGUCAGGUUGAAGUUCAGGUAACACUGAAUGGAGGACCGAACCGACUUACGUUGAAAAGUGAGCGGAUGAACUGAGGGUAGCGGAGAAAUUCCAAUCGAACCUGGAGAUAGCUGGUUCUCUCCGAAAUAGCUUUAGGGCUAGCCUCAAGUGAUGAUUAUUGGAGGUAGAGCACUGUUUGGACGAGGGGCCCCUCUCGGGUUACCGAAUUCAGACAAACUCCGAAUGCCAAUUAAUUUAACUUGGGAGUCAGAACAUGGGUGAUAAGGUCCGUGUUCGAAAGGGAAACAGCCCAGACCACCAGCUAAGGUCCCAAAAUAUAUGUUAAGUGGAAAAGGAUGUGGCGUUGCCCAGACAACUAGGAUGUUGGCUUAGAAGCAGCCAUCAUUUAAAGAGUGCGUAAUAGCUCACUAGUCGAGUGACACUGCGCCGAAAAUGUACCGGGGCUAAACAUAUUACCGAAGCUGUGGAUUGUCCUUUGGACAAUGGUAGGAGAGCGUUCUAAGGGCGUUGAAGCAUGAUCGUAAGGACAUGUGGAGCGCUUAGAAGUGAGAAUGCCGGUGUGAGUAGCGAAAGACGGGUGAGAAUCCCGUCCACCGAUUGACUAAGGUUUCCAGAGGAAGGCUCGUCCGCUCUGGGUUAGUCGGGUCCUAAGCUGAGGCCGACAGGCGUAGGCGAUGGAUAACAGGUUGAUAUUCCUGUACCACCUAUAAUCGUUUUAAUCGAUGGGGGGACGCAGUAGGAUAGGCGAAGCGUGCGAUUGGAUUGCACGUCUAAGCAGUAAGGCUGAGUAUUAGGCAAAUCCGGUACUCGUUAAGGCUGAGCUGUGAUGGGGAGAAGACAUUGUGUCUUCGAGUCGUUGAUUUCACACUGCCGAGAAAAGCCUCUAGAUAGAAAAUAGGUGCCCGUACCGCAAACCGACACAGGUAGUCAAGAUGAGAAUUCUAAGGUGAGCGAGCGAACUCUCGUUAAGGAACUCGGCAAAAUGACCCCGUAACUUCGGGAGAAGGGGUGCUCUUUAGGGUUAACGCCCAGAAGAGCCGCAGUGAAUAGGCCCAAGCGACUGUUUAUCAAAAACACAGGUCUCUGCUAAACCGUAAGGUGAUGUAUAGGGGCUGACGCCUGCCCGGUGCUGGAAGGUUAAGAGGAGUGGUUAGCUUCUGCGAAGCUACGAAUCGAAGCCCCAGUAAACGGCGGCCGUAACUAUAACGGUCCUAAGGUAGCGAAAUUCCUUGUCGGGUAAGUUCCGACCCGCACGAAAGGCGUAACGAUUUGGGGCACUGUCUCAACGAGAGACUCGGUGAAAUCAUAGUACCUGUGAAGAUGCAGGUUACCCGCGACAGGACGGAAAGACCCCGUGGAGCUUUACUGUAGCCUGAUAUUGAAAUUCGGCACAGCUUGUACAGGAUAGGUAGGAGCCUUUGAAACGUGAGCGCUAGCUUACGUGGAGGCGCUGGUGGGAUACUACCCUAGCUGUGUUGGUUUUCUAACCCGCACCACUUAUCGUGGUGGGAGACAGUGUCAGGCGGGCAGUUUGACUGGGGCGGUCGCCUCCUAAAAGGUAACGGAGGCGCUCAAAGGUUCCCUCAGAAUGGUUGGAAAUCAUUCAUAGAGUGUAAAGGCAUAAGGGAGCUUGACUGCGAGACCUACAAGUCGAGCAGGGUCGAAAGACGGACUUAGUGAUCCGGUGGUUCCGCAUGGAAGGGCCAUCGCUCAACGGAUAAAAGCUACCCCGGGGAUAACAGGCUUAUCUCCCCCAAGAGUUCACAUCGACGGGGAGGUUUGGCACCUCGAUGUCGGCUCAUCGCAUCCUGGGGCUGUAGUCGGUCCCAAGGGUUGGGCUGUUCGCCCAUUAAAGCGGUACGCGAGCUGGGUUCAGAACGUCGUGAGACAGUUCGGUCCCUAUCCGUCGUGGGCGUAGGAAAUUUGAGAGGAGCUGUCCUUAGUACGAGAGGACCGGGAUGGACAUACCUCUGGUGUACCAGUUGUCGUGCCAACGGCAUAGCUGGGUAGCUAUGUGUGGACGGGAUAAGUGCUGAAAGCAUCUAAGCAUGAAGCCCCCCUCAAGAUGAGAUUUCCCAACUUCGGUUAUAAGAUCCCUCAAAGAUGAUGAGGUUAAUAGGUUCGAGGUGGAAGCAUGGUGACAUGUGGAGCUGACGAAUACUAAUCGAUCGAAGACUUAAUCAA
rnacentral:rRNA from 1 species